CCACAGAGACCUGAACGCUUUCGACGUGGAAUCUCUCUUAUAGCGGAAUUCCCUUCGAAGUUCACUUAGAAGUCUACUUACUGUCGAAUGGAACGACUCUCCGCCAUUAAAGUCGUUCAGAUUUAGAAAGCGUAAACAGAGCUCUUCGCGUCCAGCGGCAUAUAAACGACAUAUAAAGCUGUUCAUAUUCAUCUGUUGUUUUUUUGGGUGGGUGUGGUUCUCAAACGAGUGAGAAUCUGAUUUAGAUAGAAUAUUCAACGAUAUGACUUUGAAGGAUAUUUCUGUCUUUGUUACUAAUGUGCGGGGUGUUUGGUUCAGAAGAUGAUGAAGAGAAGACAUUAUCAGCGAUGGAGGGAGAUUCGUUCAAUCUAAACAUGAAUCUUACCCAAGUACAGGGAUUUAAUCUGAUACAGUGGAGGUUUGGAGGUGAAGGAUCCAGCAUUGCUAGAACCGAUGGAAAUGAUUUCUCAUAUACUAAUGACGAGAUAUUCAGAGACAGACUACAGCUGAAUCAGACUGGAUCUCUGACCAUCAAGAACAUGAGAACCAAACACUCUGGACUUUAUAAACUACAGAUCGACCACAGCAGUGGGACAUCAAAUGAUACAUUUUUUGUUGCUGUCUAUGAGUCUCCAUCCGUUAUUGACGCUGGUGAAUCUCAAACAAAGAGCGUGUCUGUGAAAGAGGGAGAUUCUGUUACUCUUCAGACUGAUGUUACUGAACUACAUGGAGAUGAGCUGAUAGUGUGGAGGUUUGGAGGAGAAGGAAAACUCAUCGCCAAGAGUGAUGUAGAGACCAAGAGUUCAACAUUAUAUAUUACUGAUGAGAGAUUCAGAGACAGACUGCAGUUGAAUGAUCAGACUGGAUCUCUGACCGUCAAGGAAAUCAAAAACACAGACUCCGGACUUUAUACAGUGAAGAUCAGCAGCAGCGAACAGAUGAGAAACAGGAGAUUCAUUGUUAAUGUCGGUGGUUCAGGUGUGUCUUCCGGUGCUGUAGCAGGGAUAUCGGUUGCUUUCCUGCUGGCGAUUUUAAUUGUUGCUAUUUACUAUCGCUGCAAGAUCUUUAAACUUCAAAUAAAACUAAUGACAGAUGAAAAUAAGAAUGUGAUAGUAAAGGAGGGAGAAGACGUCACACUUCACACUGACGCUAAUAUAGAGGCAGAAGAUCGGAUCCUGUGGACGUUUCAAGCUCUAGGUGCUCGUAUCGCUGAAAUCAGAGAAGGUACCAGAGAGACAUUUGAUGGUGGUGAUGGGAGAUUCACAGACAGACUGAUGCUGGAUGAGACUGGAUCCCUGACCAUCAGAAACAUCGAGAUUAAACACAGUGGAGUCUAUAUACUACAGAUCAAGAAAUGUCGCAAGAUAAGAUGGCCCUCAUACAAAAGAUUCAAGGUUAAGGUUGAUGAGUGGACUACAUCGGUGAUGGAGGGAGAUGAUGUCACUCUAAAUAUUAGUACUGAAUUUAACGAAGUUAAGAAGGUAAAGUGGAUGUUUGAAGAUCAAGGCAUGAUGGCUCCCAUAGCUGAGAUCAAUGUUGAGACCGGUGAGAUCUUUCCGUUGGAGGGUAAAGCUGAUGGGAGAUUCAGAAACAGACUGAAGCUGGAUCAUCUGAUGGGAUCUCUGACCAUCAAGAACACCGGACCUGAGCACUCUGGAUACUAUCACAUCCAGAUCAAACACAGUGGAGGGACCUCAUUCAGGAUGUUGAUGGUUUCUGUCAGUGAGAGGAAGAUAUCGGCGGAGGAGGGAACGAAUGUGACUCUAGAGAUUGAAACACAGAAGGAUGAUCAGAUUCUGUGGAUGUUUGGAGCUGAAGAGACUCUCGUGGCUCAAAUCAAAGGAGAGACCAGAGAGACACGUGAUGUUCCUGAUGAGAGAUUCACAAACAGACUGAAGCUGGAAGAAUCUGGAUCUCUGACCAUCAGAAACAUCACAGCUGAACACACCGGAGCCUAUAAAGCACAGAUCGUCAGCCGCGGAAGUGUCUCAUACAAGAAAUUCAAGGUUGUUAUGCUUGCGGAGUAUGUGCCAGUGAAGAAGGGAGAUGCUGUUACGCUACACACUGACUCCAAAACACAGAGAAACGAUCAGAUACGCUGGAUGUUUGGAGAGAAAACUCUCCUCACUGAAAUCAAAGAAGGGAGCGGAGAGAUCUCUACAUAUGAUGAUGUUCUUAACGGGAGAUUCAGAGACAGACUGAAGCUGGACGAGCGGACCGGAUCACUGACCAUCACUAACUUCACGACACAACACACUGGACUCUACACGGUGAAGAUCAACAGAAGCGCAGAAACCUACAGAAACAAGAGUUUUGAUGUUUUUGCCAGAGGUGAAAUUAUUAAAGACCAGACCAUUUAUUUAGACCAGAACACUGCCUUUCUUCUUCUCUGAAAUGCAGCAAACUGAUAAAACAGCAUUUAAAAUCUUAGAAAUUUCAAAGGGCUGUGCAGAAUGACAAUAUAUACUGUGACAUUCAAUAUAAUUUUCAGUGAUUUCAGAGGAAAAGGAGGUAAAUGAAAAUGAAGUGAAGUCUGAUGGAGAUCAUCUGAAUGUAUGAAGACUGAAAUCAUCAACACAGAAAUGAAGAAAUGAGCCGUGUCCUUUGGAUUUAGAUGAACGUACAGAUAAAACCCAUUUUAAUGAUGUUAUGCUUCACACCUCUUUUAGCUUAGUAGUGGUCAGAAAUAUCAUAUAGCUUUUAUAAUAUAUAUUUUACCACAGCAGUGUUUCUCUAACCACUGUAUUUGCUGCUUUAUGUAAUAAUUAACACUAAAAUCUGGUUAAUAUUCAAGUUUUUCUUUGAGUUCGGAUCAUGUGUAGAAAUUCAUCAGACAGUGAGACGAUUCAGAAACAUCUCUGACCAUUAAUGACCAUCUGACAUUUCUCUUCUACUACUAAAAUUUGUGUUAUUUUGCUGUUAAAUUGUAAAUGCUGUGCAUUUUUCUACUGCUGUAUUAUGUAAGUUAACAUAAAUGUAAUCCGAAAGAUAUGUUCUGAAGUCAAUCAGAUGUGAAUGUAAAAGUGAAUCAUGUGUAAAUGUGAAUUUAGAGUGUCUUUGUAAGAACUUCAGUUAGCCUUUGAGUUUAAAAACUAGUCAUAUCUGUCAUGUUUAUCAGUUGAUGUAUCAAAACUCUUUGGC